CCUACGGGAGGCAGCAGUGAGGAAUAUUGGUCAAUGGACGAGAGUCUGAACCAGCCAAGUAGCGUGAAGGAUGACUGCCCUAUGGGUUGUAAACUUCUUUUAUAUGGGAAUAAAACGUUCCACGUGUGGGAUUUUGUCUGUACCAUAUGAAUAAGGAUCGGCUAACUCCGUGCCAGCAGCCGCGGUAAUACGGAGGACCCGAGCGUUAUCCGGAUUUAUUGGGUUUAAAGGGAGCGUAGGUGGAUUGUUAAGUCAGUUGUGAAAGUUUGCGGAUCAACCGUAAAAUUGCAGUUGAAACUGGCAGUCUUGAGUACAGUAGAGGUGGGCGGAAGUCGUGGUGGAGCGGUGAAAUGCUUAGAUAUCACGAAGAACUCCGAUUGCGAAGGCAGUUCACUGGACUGCAACUGACACUGAGGCUCGAAAGUGUGGGUAUCAAACAGGAUUAGAUACCCCUGUAGUC
rnacentral:rRNA from 1 species